UACGGAGGAUGCAAGCGUUAUCCGGAAUGAUUGGGCGUAAAGCGUCCGCAGGUGGCUGUGUAAGUCUGCUGUUAAAUAGUGAGGCUCAACCUCAUAAAGGCAGUGGAAACUACACGGCUAGAGUGCGUUCGGGGCAGAGGGAAUUCCUGGUGCAGCGGUGAAAUGCGUAGAGAUCAGGAAGAACACCGGUGGCGAAAGCGCUCUGCUAGGCCGCAACUGACACUGAGGGACGAAAGCUGGGGGAGCGAAUGGG
rnacentral:rRNA from 1 species